rnacentral:rRNA from 1 species
GAUGAACGCUGGCGGCGUGCCUAAUACAUGCAAGUCGAGCGAACAGAUAAGGAGCUUGCUCCUUUGACGUUAUCGGCGGACGGGUGAGUAACACGUGGGUAACCUACCUAUAAGACUGGGAUAACUUCGGGAAACCGGAGCUAAUACCGGAUAACAUUUGGAACCGCAUGGUUCUAAAGUGAAAGAUGGUUUUGCUAUCACUUAUAGAUGGACCCGCGCCGUAUUAGCUAGUUGGUAAGGUAACGGCUUACCAAGGCGACGAUACGUAGCCGACCUGAGAGGGUGAUCGGCCACACUGGAACUGAGACACGGUCCAGACUCCUACGGGAGGCAGCAGUAGGGAAUCUUCCGCAAAGGGCGAAAGCCUGACGGAGCAACGCCGCGUGAGUGAUGAAGGGUUUCGGCUCGUAAAACUCUGUUAUUAGGGAAGAACAAAUGUGUAAGUAACUGUGCACGUCUUGACGGUACCUAAUCAGAAAGCCACGGCUAACUACGUG